AUACGGAGGAUCCGAGCGUUAUCCGGAUUUAUUGGGUUUAGAGGGUGCGCAGGCGGGAGAUUAAGUCGGCGGUGAAAUUUUGCAGCUCAACUGUAAAAGUGCCUUCGAAACUGGUUUCCUUGAGUGUAGAUGAAGUAGGCGGAAUUUGUGGUGUAGCGGUGAAAUGCAUAGAUAUCACGAGGAACUCCGAUUGCGCAGGCAGCUUACUAAACUACUACUGACGCUCAGGCACGAAGGCGUGGGGAUCAAACAGGAUUAGAUACCCUGGUAGUCCACGCAGUAAACGAUGAUUACUAGCUGUUUGCGAUACAAUGUAAGCGGCUGAGCGAAAGCGUUAAGUAAUCCACCUGGGGAGUACGUUCGCAAGAAUGAAACUCAAAUGAAUUGACGGGG
rnacentral:rRNA from 1 species